rnacentral:misc_RNA from 1 species
GAGUUGUUAGUCUGUGUGGACCGACAAGGACAGUUCCAAAUCGGAAGCUUGCUUAACACAGUUCUAACAGUUUGUUUAGAUAGAGAGCAGUAACCUGCUUUCUCUGCAACAUCAAUCCAGGCACAGAGCGCCGCGAGAUGGAUUGGUGUUGUUGAUCCAACAGGUUCU